AUUGAACGCUGGCAGCAGGCCUAACACAUGCAAGUCGAGCGAGCGGCGGACGGGUGAGUAAUGUCUGGGAAACUGCCUGAUGGAGGGGGAUAACUACUGGAAACGGUAGCUCAUACCGCAUACCAUAAGAUGUGACCAGAUGGGGUUAGCUAGGAGGUGGGGUAACGGCUCACCUAGGCGACGAGCCCUAGCUGGUCUGGGAGGAUGAGCAGCCACACUGGAACGUAGACACGGUCCAGACUCCGACGGUAGGCAGCAGUGGGGAAUAUUGCACAAUGGGCGCAAGCCUGAUGCAGCCAUGCCGCGUGUGUGAAGAAGGCCUUCGGGUUGUAAAGCACUUUCAGCGGGGAGGCGUUACCCGCAGAAGAAGCACCGGCUAACUCCGUGCCAGCAGCCGCGGUAAUUC
rnacentral:rRNA from 1 species